rnacentral:rRNA from 1 species
GACGAACGCUGGCGGCGUGCUUAACACAUGCAAGUCGAACGGAAAGACCCUGCUUUUGUGGGGUUCUCGAUUGGCGAACGCGUGAGUAACACGUGAGUAACCUGCCCUUGACUUUGGGAUAACUUCAGGAAACUGGGGCUAAUACCGGAUAGGAUCUCCUGCUCCAUGGUGGGCAUUGGAAAUUUUCGGCGGUUGGGGCUGGACUCGCGGCUUAUUAGCUUGCUGGUUGGGUAGUUGCUUACCAAGCCUUUGACGGGUAGCCGGCAUGAGAGGGUGACCAGCGACAAGGGGACUGCGAUACGGAGCAGACUGCAAUGGUAGGCAGUGGUCGGGAGUAUUGCACAAUGGGAGGAAGCCUGAUGCAAAAACGCCGGGUGCGGAAUGCCGGCCUGUGGGUUGUAAACAGCUUUCGCCUGUGACGAAGCGUGAGUGACGGUAAUGGGUAAAGAAGCACCGGCUAACUACGUG